rnacentral:rRNA from 1 species
CCUACGGGAGGCAGCAGUGAGGAAUAUUUGUCAAUGGACGAGAGUCUGAACCAGCCAAGUAGCGUGAAGGAUGACUGCCCUAUGGGUUGUAAACUUCUUUUAUAUGGGAAUAAAAUGUUCCACGUGUGGGAUUUUGUAUGUACCAUAUGAAUACGGAUCGGCUAACUCCGUGCCAGCAGCCGCGGUAAUACGGAGGAUCCGAGCGUUAUCCGGAUUUAUUGGGUUUAAAGGGAGCGUAGGUGGAUUGUUAAGUCAGUUGUGAAAGUUUGCGGCUCAACCGUAAAAUUGCAGUUGAAACUGGCAGUCGUGAGUACAGUAGAGGUGGGCGGAAUUCGUGGUGUAGCGGUGAAAUGCUUAGAUAUCACGAAGAACUCCGAUUGCGAAGGCAGCUCACUGGACUGCAACUGACACUGAGGCUCGAAAGUGUGGGUAUCAAACAGGAUUAGAUACCCUUGUAGUC